rnacentral:rRNA from 1 species
UACGAAGGGGGCUAGCGUUGCUCGGAAUCACUGGGCGUAAAGCGCACGUAGGCGGCUUUUUAAGUCAGGGGUGAAAUCCUGGAGCUCAACUCCAGAACUGCCUUUGAUACUGGGAGCUUGAGUCCGGGAGAGGUGAGUGGAACUCCGAGUGUAGAGGUGAAAUUCGUAGAUAUUCGGAAGAACACCAGUGGCGAAGGCGGCUCACUGGCCCGGUACUGAC